GGUAAAUCUCGUGCCAGCCACCGCGGUCAUACAGGAGGCUCAAAUUAACUUUAUAACGGCGUAAAGAGUGGUCGCAUGUUAUCCAAGUAGCUAAGAUUAAAAAGCAACUGAGCUGUCAUAAGCCCAAGAUGCCCAUAAGGCCUCCGUCUUCAAAGAAGAUCUUAGAACAACGAUUAAUUGAAGCCACGAAAGCCAGGACCCAAACUGGGAUUAGAUACCCCACUAUGCCUGGCCCUAAAUCUUGAUGCUCGAUAUUACCUGAGCAUCCGCCCGAGAACUACGAGCACAAACGCUUAAAACUCUAAGGACUUGGCGGUGCCCCAAACCCACCUAGAGGAGCCUGUUCUGUAAUCGAUGAUCCACGAUAUUACCUGACCAUUUCUUGCACGAAACAGCCUAUAUACCGCCGUCGCCAGCCCACCUUUCCUGACAGCCCAACAGUGGACGCAAUAGCCUAACCCGCUAGUAAGACAGGUCAAGGUAUAGCCUAUGGAAUGGAAGCAAUGGGCUACAUUUUCUAGAUUAGAACAUACGGAUAGGGGUAUGAAACUGCCCCUGGAAGGCGGAUUUAGCAGUAAAGAGAGACAAUCGAGCCCUCUUUAAGCCGGCUCUGGAGCACGUACAUACCGCCCGUCACCCUCCUCAUAAGCGCCCAACACACCCAAUACCUAAUAAGCCAUCCAGCUAAAGAGGAGGUAAGUCGUAACAAGGUAAGCAUACUGGA
rnacentral:rRNA from 1 species